rnacentral:rRNA from 1 species
UACGGAGGGUGCAAGCGUUGUCCGGAAUCACUGGGCGUAAAGGGCGCGUAGGCGGCUCAUGAAGGCUGUGGUGAAAGUCCGGGGCUCAACCUCGGAUCGGCCGUGGCGACUCGUGGGCUGGAGCACUGUAGAGGCGGGUGGAAUUCCGGGUGUAGCGGUGGAAUGCGUAGAGAUCCGGAAGAACACCAGUGGCGAAGGCGGCCCGCUGGGCCAAGACUGACGCUGAGGCGCGACAGCGUGGGGAGCAAACAGG